rnacentral:rRNA from 1 species
GGGGAAUUUUGGACAAUGGGGGCAACCCUGAUCCAGCCAUGCCGCGUGAGUGAAGAAGGCCUUCGGGUUGUAAAGCUCUUUCGGCCGGGAAGAAAUCGCAUGGGUUAAUACCCUGUGUGGAUGACGGUACCGGCAUAAGAAGCACCGGCUAACUACGUGCCAGCAGCCGCGGUAAUACGUAGGGUGCGAGCGUUAAUCGGAAUUACUGGGCGUAAAGCGUGCGCAGGCGGUUUGGUAAGACAGGCGUGAAAUCCCCGGGCUUAACCUGGGAACUGCGCUUGUGACUGCCUCACUAGAGUACGGCAGAGGGGGGUGGAAUUCCACGUGUAGCAGUGAAAUGCGUAGAGAUGUGGAGGAACACCGAUGGCGAAGGCAGCCCCCUGGGCCGAUACUGACGCUCAUGCACGAAAGCGUGGGUAGCAAA